AUGGUUAAGUGACUAAGCGUACACGGUGGAUGCCUUGGCAGUCAGAGGCGAUGAAAGACGUAUUAACUUGCGAUAAGCCCAGAUUAGGUAGUAAAAACCAUUUGAGUCUGGGAUUUCUGAAUGGGGAAACCCACGUGCAUAAGCACGUAUCACUACAUGAAUACAUAGUGUAGUGAGGCGAACCGGGAGAACUGAAACAUCUAAGUACCCCGAGGAAGAGAAAUCAACCGAGAUCCCGAAAGUAGCGGCGAGCGAAAUUGGGUUAGCCCUUAAGCUUUUAAUGAGACAGGUGAAGGCUCUGGAAAGUGCCGCGAUACAGGGUGAUAGCCCCGUAACCGACAUCUCAUCAUCAGUGAAAACGAGUAAGGCGGGACACGUGAUAUCCUGUCUGAAUAUGGGGGGACCAUCCUCCAAGGCUAAAUACUACUGACUGACCGAUAGUGAACCAGUACCGUGAGGGAAAGGCGAAAAGAACCCCUGUGAGGGGAGUGAAAUAGAACCUGAAACCGUGUACGUACAAGCAGUAGGAGCACCUUCGUGGUGUGACUGCGUACCUUUUGUAUAAUGGGUCAGCGACUUAUAUUCAGUGGCAAGGUUAACCGUUUAGGGGAGCCGUAGGGAAACCGAGUCUUAACUGGGCGUUCAGUCUCUGGAUAUAGACCCGAAACCAGGUGAUCUAGCCAUGGGCAGGUUGAAGAUUGAGUAACAUCAAUUGGAGGACCGAACCGACUAAUGUUGAAAAAUUAGCGGAUGACUUGUGGCUAGGGGUGAAAGGCCAAUCAAACCUGGAGAUAGCUGGUUCUCCCCGAAAUCUAUUUAGGUAGAGCCUCGGACGAAUACUACUGGGGGUAGAGCACUGUUAAGGCUAGGGGGUCAUCCCGACUUACCAACCCUUUGCAAACUCCGAAUACCAGUAAGUACUAUCCGGGAGACACACGGCGGGUGCUAACGUCCGUCGUGGAGAGGGAAACAACCCAGACCGCCAGCUAAGGUC
rnacentral:rRNA from 1 species